rnacentral:tRNA from 2 species
GCGGGGUGGAGCAGUUCGGUAGCUCGUCGGGCUCAUAACCCGAAGGUCGCAGGUU